GACGUAGGGCGCGAGCGUUGUCCGGAUUUAUUGGGCGUAAAGAGCUCGUAGGCGGCUUGUCGCGUCGACUGUGAAAACUUGGGGCUCAACCCCAAGCCUGCGGUCGAUACGGGCAGGCUCGAGUUCGGUAGGGGAGACUGGAAUUCCUGGUGUAGCGGUGAAAUGCGCAGAUAUCAGGAGGAACACCGAUGGCGAAGGCAGGGCUCUGGGCCGAUACUGACGCUGAGGAGCGAAAGCGUGGGGAGCGAACAGG
rnacentral:rRNA from 1 species